rnacentral:rRNA from 1 species
AGAGUUUGAUCCUGGCUCAGGACGAACGCUGGCGGCGUGCUUAACACAUGCAAGUCGAACGGUAAGGCCCCUUUUUUUGGGGUGUACGAGUGGCGAACGGGUGAGUAACACGUGAGUAACCUGCCCCAGACUUUGGGAUAACAGUUGGAAACGAUUGCUAAUACUGGAUAUGAGCUGCUGCCGCAUGGUGGUGGUUUGAAAGUUCCGGCGGUUUGGGAUGGGCUCGCGGCCUAUCAGCUUGUUGGUGAGGUGAUGGCUUACCAAGGCUUCGACGGGUAGCCGGCCUGAGAGGGCGACCGGCCACAUUGGGACUGAGAUACGGCCCAGACUCCUACGGGAGGCAGCAGUGGGGAAUAUUGCACAAUGGGCGGAAGCCUGAUGCAGCAACGCCGCGUGCGGGAUGACGGCCUUCGGGUUGUAAACCGCUUUCAAUUGUGACGAAGCUUUUUUGUGACGGUAGCAGUAGAAGAAGCACCGGCUAACUACGUGCCAGCAGCCGCGGUGAUACGUAGGGUGCGAGCGUUGUCCGGAUUUAUUGGGCGUAAAGAGCUUGUAGGCGGUUUGUCGCGUCGGGAGUGAAAACUCGGAGCUUAACUUUGAGCUUGCUUUCGAUACGGGCUGACUUGAGGGAGGUAGGGGAGAAUGGAAUUCCUGGUGGAGCGGUGGAAUGCGCAGAUAUCAGGAGGAACACCGGUGGCGAAGGCGGUUCUCUGGACCUUUCCUGACGCUGAGAAGCGAAAGCGUGGGGAGCGAACAGGCUUAGAUACCCUGGUAGUCCACGCCGUAAACGGUGGGUACUAGGUGUGGGGGACAUUCCACGUUCUCCGUGCCGUAGCUAACGCAUUAAGUACCCCGCCUGGGGAGUACGGCCGCAAGGCUAAAACUCAAAGGAAUUGACGGGGCCCCGCACAAGCGGCGGAGCAUGCGGAUUAAUUCGAUGCAACGCGAAGAACCUUA